rnacentral:rRNA from 1 species
UAAAGGGCUGCAGUAUAUUGACUGUACAAAGGUAGCAUAAUCAUUAGUCUUUUAAUUGAAGACUUGUAUGAAAGAUUUGAUGAAAUAUAAACUGUCUCUAAUUUAUAAAUAGAAAUUAAUUUUUUAAUUAAAAAGUUAAAAUAUUAUUAAAAGACGAGAAGACCCUAUAGAGUUUUAUAAUUUAUUUAUUUAAUUAUUAAGUAUAUAUUUAAAUUUAAUAAAUAAAUAAAUUAUUAUAUUGGGGUGAUAAAAAAAUUUAAUAAACUUUUUUUAAUUUAAUAACAUAAAUAAAUGAAAAAAUGAUCCAUUUUUAAUGAUUAAAAGAAAAAAUUACCUUAGGGAUAACAGCGUAAUAUUUUUUUUUAGUACAAAUAAAAAAAAAAGUUUGCGACCUCGAUGUUGGAUUAAGAUAAAAUUUAAAUGCAAAAGUUUAAAAGUUUUGAUCUGUUCGAUCAUUAAAAUCUUACAUGAUCUGAGCUA